CGAGUGAAUUCGAAGUAAAAAUAUAUAUAAAUAUGAUUCGAUCAAAUGCCCCCACACUUAACUUUUGCUUGUCCUCGAGCAAAACAAAGAAAACAAGAACAAGAAGUAACAAGAAAAACAUUAGCUUCCCCCUAUGUGACCCUCAUAGAAUUUCAUUCGAGAACACAAAUCAACAAGAACCAUAGCUAGCAUCAAGGAACUAAUCCAAGUUCAUCUUCCUUAAUCAAAUAUUAGCAGUAAUCUUUGAAUCAUCCUUGAAGUGUAGUGUGUGAGAUAGCCAUGCUAGUGCAAUUUCAAAAUUUUUAUAUUUUUAAAAUCACCAUAUGCAAACUAGCAACCUUCUCACGGGAUAUACACUCAAUCACACAUGUGUUUAGUUUUAAUGUGUUUCGCUCAAAAAAUCAAAUGUGAAAUUUCUACCAUAAGCUUGCAUAAAGAUCACUUCUCCACAGUCAUAAUUGCAAAACUUAAAU
rnacentral:lncRNA from 1 species